UACAGAGGUCUCAAGCGUUGUUCGGAUUCAUUGGGCGUAAAGGGUGCGUAGGUGGCGCUGUAAGUCGGGUGUGAAAUUUCGGAGCUUAACUCCGAAACUGCAUUCGAUACUGCGGUGCUUGAGGACUGGGAGAGGAGACUGGAAUUCAUGGUGUAGCAGUGAAAUGCGUAGAGAUCAUGAGGAAGACCAGCUGGCGAAGGCGGGUCUCUGGACAGUUCCUGACACUGAGGCACGAAGGCCAGGGGAGCAAACGGG
rnacentral:rRNA from 1 species